GGCCCGUUAAGUACCGAGCUGCAAACUUGGGAAAGGCUAAAAAUAUAGUCCG
rnacentral:tRNA from 1 species